UGAGGAAUUUUCCGCAAUGGGCGGAAGCCUGACGGAGCAAUACCGCGUGAAGGAAGAAGGCCCGUGGGUCGUAAACUUCUUUUCUUAAGGAAGAAUCAAUGACGGUACUUAAGGAAUAAGCACCGGCUAACUCUGUG
rnacentral:rRNA from 1 species